AGAUGAACCCCUAACCAUACACUUUGUAAAAAGUAGCCUCUGUUCCUGAGCAGAGUCUAGAUUCCCUUAGCAGAGGCUGAAGCCAGGAAAGAUUCUCACUUUCAUUUACAGUGGGGCAUUUCCUGAUUCUCUCUUUUUUUUUUCCCCUUCCUCUUAAGCAUACCACAAACUAUGUGGCAAUAGUCAGUGUAGGGACUCAGAGCUCUCACUCACUGUGAAUUACAGAUUUCUCGCAGGCUCUCCGUGCUUUGCAGAGAAAGCGAGGCCAAGGAGAGGGCCAUGCACGAGAGAGAGGGCUGGUAGACACACCUGCAGCUAAUACCCCCGCACUCCCAACCCUGCCUCAGCAACCUCCCUGGGCCGGGCUGCAUUCUGACCUGGUGGUGUUUCCUCCCUCAGGAACUUUCGUGAAGGUCCCUUCACUGCUUUCACCAGAGUGUGAGCUCCUCUGUGCCAUCACAGUGGACGAUACUUUUGUACACAUGGUGAGGAGGGUGAAGCCCGUCGGCCACGCAGCCGGGACGCCCGGGUUCAAAUCUCCUGUGACUUGAGGUAAGUAAAUUAAAUUAAUCUCUUUCCACUUUUGUAAAUGGGAACAAUAACAUGGCCGUACCUGAUGGGAACGUCGUAAUCAGGAUCCCAAGAAUUCAACUGCGCAAAACUCGGAGUCUCAUUAUGGUGACAGUACAGCAAAGAGGAGGCGCUUGGGCCAAUUGUGUUAUGUCUUUCAGUUAUUAUGAGGUGUUAUAGUAGGAUUCCUGUGGAUUGUGUGUAUAUAUGUACAUAGAGUGUGUAUGUAUACACACACACAUAUACACUCUGUGUACAUAUAUACACGUGUGUACAAUAUAUUAAAAUAUUAAUGUAUGUAAAAUGUUUAUCACAGUAAAUGUGCAAGAGAAGUGGCUAAUUAGUAGUAGUCACACCAGCGCUCCCCAGCUGGGCUAAGUGUGGGCUCCCCGAGAGGGAUUAGUGUGCCGGCUGGGAGCGACAGGUCCGACGCUGGCUGGGCUGCUGAGCCCACACUCCUCGAGGCCAGGGAUCCUGCAGGCCUGACACCCCAGUGGCUUCCAGGACUGGUUCUGCUCCUUCCAAAGGUAGAGUCUAGAGAUCCUGGGAAAAAGCUCUGACUUGUCAUGACCUCUGGGCAGGCGGCAAAGAGAUUUCUUCAAGUUCCCAAGAGAGGAGGAGGAGGAUAAUGGUGUCAGUUAGAAGCCACUCUUCCCUUUUCUGUGAGAAAUGCUCAGAAUCCUGUGCGUGAUGGUAUCCCAAGCAUUUACCCCCCUGGUGGCAUCGAUCACAAGAGAAAAGAUUGGCUGCUUCUUGCCAACAGAGGAAAGCAGUGUCAGAGCUGAGCCGGCUCCUACUUCUCCAGCCCAGGUAAAGACCCCCCGGCCCUCCCCCGCUUCCCAAGCAGGGCCGGCAGGGCUGCCAGCCUCCACUCCCCACCUGUCUCUGUGACCAGCUGCCUCAGGCCAUCUGCAGCUGCCCCCACCCCAGGGGGCAGCUCAAAUAGGAGCCUGGGGCCCACUUACAAGACAAGGGCUGGGAAGGGGUUUCCUGCUGCAGUCUGGGCACAGCUCCAUUCGGCAUCUUACAAGCACAGAUAUCAGAGUGGGAGGGGAACCCUGAAAGCCUCCCGUUCACAGACGAAGCACUAAGGCCUGGAGAGGUGUCAGCCAUGUCUCCCUGGCUGAUUCUUCUCUAUCCCUUUUUCUGGUUCCUUCUCACCUCCUGACCUCUGAUUGUUGGUGUGCCCCAGAGCUCAGAGCUGGGACCCUCUCGCACCCUCUGGGGGACCUCACCCAGGCCUGCAGCUUUCUGUACCCUAUAAAUGUACCUGCUGACAACUCUCAAAUGUACACCUCCAGUUCAGACUCUCUCCUGACCUCCAGACUCACAUCCAACUGCCCACUCAACUCCUCCGCUGGGAUGUCUAAUAGGCAUCUCUCUCCUCAUGGGCGUAAAACGGAGUUCCUGGUUUUUCCUCCUCCCAUUGUCUUCUCCAGUUGAGGUCAUGGCAAUUCCAUCAUUGCCCAAGCCAGAAACCUUGGAGUCACUCUUGGCUUCCGUUUCUCUCAUGUCGUCCCCAGUCCAUCAGCCUCCCCUUCCACAUACACACAGAUCCCGACCCGUCCUCUCUUUCUCCGCCCUCACGCUAUUCCAAGCCACCGUCACCCUUGCCUGGUUUGCAGGUUUCCUUAAUAGUGUCCCAGCCUCCACCCGUGCCCCGCAGUUUGUUAGGAACUGUCCCAGCAGCCAGGCUAUCCUGUGAAGAAGGAGGUCAGCUGAGGUCUCCCCUCAGCUCAACCCAUGGCACCCCGUCCCAGCCGGAGCAGUGGCCCAUCUUACCUUUCCAUCUGUUCGCCUGCACUCCCUGCUCUCUCCACUCCAGACCCAGUGGCCUCAAAGCCGCCAGGUGUGCUCCCACCUUGAGGCCUUGGUAUUUGCAGCCCGUCUGUUGGGACAGCUCCCCGCAGGUUUCUGCCUGCGCACUGCCUCUCCUCCCGGGCACAGCCUCAUUCCUGUCUUCAGGCAAAUACCACCUGUUCAGUAAGGUCUUCCCCAACCUCCUUAAUUAAAAUUGCACCCCCUCCAAGCCUGCCUCCCCUUUUUACUCUCUUCCUCUCCAUGACACUACCACCAUCAAACACAUGACAUUUUUGCUUCAUAAGUGUUUGUUAAAUGAAUGAGUGAACAGUGAUCAGUGUCAGCUUUCUCCAUGCGUACCGUUGCACUUAGCUGUGAAUGAAGAGCAAGAAAACACCCUGGAGCAUCAAGUUCAAUUCUACCUUCAGGAGAAGGACACUGAGAUGCGGCAGGGAGGAGGAUAUCCCAAAACAUCAUAGCACAUUGACUUGAGAGCUGAGGUUGGGAAUGGAUCCCCCUGUCUCCCGAACAAAGCCUGUGUGUCCUCUGGUCCCCCUGCCGCCCCCAGAAGUCACUCCAUUCUGACAGCAAUUUCCAAUCUCCUGAGCUGUAAAAUUAGAACAAGGAACCUACAAAAAACAAAGAAGUGAAGUGGGGUAGGGGUAUUUUUAGCCUCGUUGGUCUCUAAGUCCAUGCACGUGGCUAUAAAUAAGUAUUAAAUCAGGAAGCAAGCUGAAAGGUGGUCAGCUUUUCUGGGGGUGGCUGAGUGAGGCUGUUGCAACAUGGACAGUUUUGGGCCAGAGUGACCAAUUCCAAGAAAACUGGCCCUGUUGAGUCAUCUGGAAGCCACAUACCUCAUAUUGGCUGUUCAGAGAGAGUCUGAGGAAUUAGAUCCUCCUUUUUCUUCUCCUCCAUCAGCCAGAAGUACCAGUGAAACUCUAAAGCCCACCCAGCAUUUAAUGGUCAAAAUCUCCCCAGUGCUGGAUGGCUAUCUUUGGGGGCAGAUGGGGAUUUUGAGUAGUAACCUGGAGCCUCUGUGUCCCCUGUUGCCCAGAGACACUUCUUGGGCUCUGGUCCCUUUGUCCACUAGGAACUUUCUGAAACCUCAGGACCAGGCCUAAAAGAUGAGACCUGGAUGAGCAUGAAGCACUUCCUCAUGGUUAAACACUGUUCAUCACAUGUGAUCUCAUUUCAUACAGUGACUUACUAGGGACAUACUUUUAUAGUUGUCUCCAUUUCGUAGAUGGAAAAGCUGAUGCAAAGGGUGGGUAAGUGAUGUACCCAGGUCUCGCUUAAGUGGCAGACCCAAGCAGUCUGGCUCCACGGCCCAUGUCCUUAGCCAUCAGGCUAUGCUGCAAUGUCUGGGGGGCAGGAAACCUGGGUCAAAAUCCGAACUAUGUGUGGCUGUCAUUCAUUCAACAUUCAGUGAGUAUUACUGAGCAUUUACCAGUGGAGAGCAUCUCUCCGGCUCUGAGAUUCAUGGCUGGAUCCAGGGUUUGAUGCUGCAGAUCUUGGGCUGCCCAUCGAGCUAAGCGAUGAACGUGCAGUGAGCACAUGGGUUUCUGGUGGAAACUGAAUGAGGACAGGUCUGUUGCUCUCCUUGGGGCACUUGGAGGGAAGUAUUCUGAUUCAUGCUGUAGAAAUACGGACUGUGUCCCUCCGCAGGUCAGGAGAAGGACCAGGCACUAAAGCUGGGGCAGCUCCCUGCCCUCGUGUAGUUUACGGUGUAGUUGGGAGACACAGACAAUGACCACAAACAAAUAAAUGAGAUAAUUAAGAUGGUAUAAAGGCCCUAAGUAAAACAAAGUGAUGGAACUCUUACGGGUUGACCUGUGUUCCACCGAAAGUCACAUGUUGACCCAGAAUAUGACCUUAUUUGGAGAUAAGGUCUUUACUGAGGUAACUGAGUUAAAAUGAGACUAUUAGGUAGGCUCUAAUCUAACAUGACUGGUUUUCUGGGAAAAAAAA
rnacentral:lncRNA from 1 species